AUUUGCUUUACUCUUUUAGGUGAGCUGAGCCAAAUGCUGAAUAAGAUUUACCUUGGAUAGUUAAAGCAGAACUGGGGCUGUUGAGAGAGAGAACAAACAGUGAUGGAAUCACCGUCCAUGAUAUCAGAAGAUGUUCUUCAGUGUGACAAGAUAAAGGGAGCAUUCACAGUCACCCAAUGGGGUGAACCUGUCAAAGCCAACCCAAAUCUCAUGUGAGACUCCAGCUCUGGGCAGGACUUUGAUUUCUGCUUGAUGAGAUCCUGAACAGAGAACUCAGCUAAGCUAUCUUCACACACCUGACCCACAAACUAUGAGAUGAUACAUGUGUACAGUUUCAAGCCACUAAAUGUCUUGUAAUUUGUGUGUGACAAUAGAAAACUCAUCUGAAAGACCACCACGGAUAUUUAUACUAGGAUGUGCUGUAUUAAAGUGCGGAAUAUCUGGCAUUAGG
ensembl:lncRNA